GAUGAAUGCUGGCGGUCUGCUUAACACAUGCAAGUCGAACGGGCGCAGCAAUGCGUUAGAGGCGGACGGGUGAGUAACACGUGAGAAUCUGCCAACGGGACGGGGAUAACAGGGGGAAACCGCUGCUAACACCCGAUAAACCGAAAGGGGAAAAAUUAAUUGCCAGUUGAUGAGCUCGCGUCGGAUUAGCUAGUUGGUAGUGUAAGGGACUACCAAGGCGACGAUCCAUAGCCGGUCUGAGAGGACGAUCGGCCACACUGGGACUGAGACACGACCCAGACUCCUACGGGAGGCAGCAGUGGGGAAUUUUCGGCAAUGGGCGAAAGCCUGACGGAGCAAGACAACGUGAGGGAGGAAGGCUCUUGGGUUGUAAACCUCUUUUCUCAAGGAACAAGCAAUGACGGUACUUAAGGAAUCAGCAUCGGCUAACUCCGUGCCAGCAGCCGCGUUAAUACGGAGGAUGCUAGC
rnacentral:rRNA from 1 species